AACUCGGUCCUGCGCGGCAGGAACUCCGAACCGUGUCAGGCCUUGACGGGAGCAGCACUAAGGGGCACCUCCUGGGUGCCGUAGGCCCCCGGGUGCGA
rnacentral:SRP_RNA from 1 species